rnacentral:rRNA from 1 species
AGUCGAACGAUGAAGCCGGAGCUUGCUCUGGUGGAUUAGUGGCGAACGGGUGAGUAACACGUGAGUAACCUGCCCUUGACUCUGGAAUAAGCGUUGGAAACGACGUCUAAUACUGGAUACGAGCUUCAGCCGCAUGGCUAGGAGCUGGAAAGAAUUUCGGUCAAGGAUGGACUCGCGGCCUAUCAGGUAGUUGGUGAGGUAAUAGCUCACCAAGCCUACGACGGGUAGCCGGCCUGAGAGGGUGACCGGCCACACUGGAACUGAGACACGGUCCAGACUCCUACGGGAGGCAGCAGUGGGGAAUAUUGCACAAUGGGCGCAAGCCUGAUGCAGCAACGCCGCGUGAGGGACGACGGCCUUCGGGUUGUAAACCUCUUUUAGUAGGGAAGAAGCGAAAGUGACGGUACCUGCAGAAAAAGCACCGGCUAACUACGUGCCAGCAGCCGCGGUAAUACGUAGGGUGCAAGCGUUAUCCGGAAUUAUUGGGCGUAAAGAGCUCGUAGGCGGUUUGUCGCGUCUGCUGUGAAAACUGGGGGCUCAACCCCCAGCGUGCAGUGGGUACGGGCAGACUAGAGUGCGGUAGGGGAGAUUGGAAUUCCUGGUGUAGCGGUGGAAUGCGCAGAUAUCAGGAGGAACACCAAUGGCGAAGGCAGAUCUCUGGGCCGUUACUGACGCUGAGGAGCGAAAGCAUGGGGAGCGAACAGGAUUAGAUACCCUGGUAGUCCAUGCCGUAAACGUUGGGAACUAGAUGUAGGGACCAUUCCACGGUUUCUGUGUCGCAGCUAACGCAUUAAGUUCCCCGCCUGGGGAGUACGGCCGCAAGGCUAAAACUCAAAGGAAUUGACGGGGGCCCGCACAAGCGGCGGAGCAUGCGGAUUAAUUCGAUGCAACGCGAAGAACCUUACCAAGACUUGACAUAUACGAGAACGGGCUAGAAAUAGUCAACUCUUUGGACACUCGUAAACAGGUGGUGCAUGGUUGUCGUCAGCUCGUGUCGUGAGAUGUUGGGUUAAGUCCCGCAACGAGCGCAACCCUCGUUCUUUGUUGCCAGCACGUAAUGGU